AUGAACGCUGGCGGCGUGCCUAAUACAUGCUAGUCGAGCGAACAGACGAGGAGCUUGCUCCUCUGACGUUAGCGGCGGACGGGUGAGUAACACGUGGAUAACCUACCUAUAAGACUGGGAUAACUUCGGGAAACCGGAGCUAAUACCGGAUAAUAUAUUGAACCGCAUGGUUCAAUAGUGAAAGACGGUUUUGCUGUCACUUAUAGAUGGAUCCGCGCCGCAUUAGCUAGUUGGUAAGGUAACGGCUUACCAAGGCAACGAUGCGUAGCCGACCUGAGAGGGUGAUCGGCCACACUGGAACUGAGACACGGUCCAGACUCCUACGGGAGGCAGCAGUAGGGAAUCUUCCGCAAUGGGCGAAAGCCUGACGGAGCAACGCCGCGUGAGUGAUGAAGGUCUUCGGAUCGUAAAACUCUGUUAUUAGGGAAGAACAAAUGUGUAAGUAACUAUGCACGUCUUGACGGUACCUAAUCAGAAAGCCACGGCUAACUACGUG
rnacentral:rRNA from 1 species